AUAUAGAACAUGUUAAAUUUACAAUGAUGGUUAAGGAUUGCUAACAGAGUUCAGUACCCACAAGUCAUGUCUACAUGGCCAGGAACCAGGCUAUUUACAGGUGUUUAAGUAUACUAGAGAUCUUAAAUCACGUGUCAAUCUCAAGGCCCGAAUUUUGAUCCAGCCCGCAUAUCGACUUAGGUUCACGAUCAAUUUUGGCCCGCCUAGCUGUGCGCCAAACCAAAAAGACGGGAAACUGUUUUUUUCAGACUGCAACUACGGGAGAUUCAAAGCAGAAUUUUGGCAGAUUUGCUGACUUUGAGACUCAGAAAUUCCCACAGAAUGUACAUUACAGAGAGUUUACAUAUUCAGGCUGUGAAACAGGUUGCUGUGAGUCAGCUGUAUGGUAACCUGCUUUUAAAAAUGUAAUCUUUGUUUUGCUCGAUUUGCUAAACUCUAAUGGCUAA